GACGAACGCUGGCGGCGUGCUUAACACAUGCAAGUCGAACGGAAAGGCCCUGCUUUUGUGGGGUGCUCGAGUGGCGAACGGGUGAGUAACACGUGAGUAACCUGCCCUUGACUUUGGGAUAACUUCAGGAAACUGGGGCUAAUACCGGAUAGGAGCUCCUGCUGCAUGGUGGGGGUUGGAAAGUUUCGGCGGUUGGGGAUGGACUCGCGGCUUAUCAGCUUGUUGGUGGGGUAGUGGCUUACCAAGGCUUUGACGGGUAGCCGGCCUGAGAGGGUGACCGGCGACAUUGGGGCUGGAAUACGGCCCAGACUCCUACGGGAGGCAGCAGUGGGGAAUAUUGCACAAUGGGCGGAAGCCUGAUGCAGCAACGCCGCGUGCGGGAUGACGGCCUUCGGGUUGUAAACCGCUUUCGCCUGUGACGAAGCGUGAGUGACGGUAAUGGGUAAAGAAGCACCGGCUAACUACGUG
rnacentral:rRNA from 1 species